rnacentral:rRNA from 1 species
CACGUAGGGUGCGAGCGUUGUCCGGAAUUAUUGGGCGUAAAGAGCUCGUAGGCGGUGUGUCGCGUCGGCCGUGAAAACCUGCAGCUUAACUGUGGGCUUGCGGUCGAUACGGGCAUCACUGGAGUUCGGCAGGGGAGACUGGAAUUCCUGGUGUAGCGGUGAAAUGCGCAGAUAUCAGGAGGAACACCGGUGGCGAAGGCGGGUCUCUGGGCCGAAACUGACGCUGAGGAGCGAAAGCGUGGGGAGCAAACAGG